CCGGCCUUAGCUCAGUUGGUAGUAGCGGCAGACUGUAGUGCAUACCGUGCGAAGACAUCUGUAGGUCCCUGGUUCGACUCCGGGAGGCCGGA